AUUUACAUCCCUACAACAUUAAUGCAUUUGAUCCCAUCAAAACUCCACAAUUAAGCAUGCUUGGGAUAGAGUAGUACUAGGAUAGGUGACCUCCUGGGAAGUCUUAAUGUUUUACAUG
rnacentral:rRNA from 1 species